rnacentral:rRNA from 1 species
UACGUAGGGUGCGAGCGUUAAUCGGAAUUACUGGGCGUAAAGUGUGCGCAGGCGGCGCCGCAAGUCGAGUGUGAAAGCCCCGGGCUUAACUUGGGAAUUGCGCUCGAAACUAUGGUGCUGGAGUGUGGCAGAGGAAGGUGGAAUUCCACGUGUAGCGGUGAAAUGCGUAGAGAUGUGGAGGAACACCGAUGGCGAAGGCAGCCUUCUGGGCCAACACUGACGCUCAUGCACAAAAGCGUGGGGAGCAAACAGG